ACCUACGGGAGGCAGCAGUGAGGAAUAUUGGUCAAUGGGCGCGAGCCUGAACCAGCCAAGUCGCGUGAGGGAUGACGGUCCUACGGAUUGUAAACCUCUUUUGCCGGGGAGCAAGCGUGCGUUCGUGAACGCGCGUCGAGAGUACCCGGAGAAAAAGCAUCGGCUAACUCCGUGCCAGCAGCCGCGGUAAUACGGAGGAUGCGAGCGUUAUCCGGAUUUAUUGGGUUUAAAGGGUCCGUAGGCGGGAUGCCAAGCCAGCGGUAAAAACGCGCUGCUCACCCCCGUCGAGCCGUUGCAACUGGCGU
rnacentral:rRNA from 1 species